UACGUAGGGGGCUAGCGUUGUCCGGAAUCAUUGGGCGUAAAGAGCGUGUAGGCGGCCCGGUAAGUCCGCUGUGAAAGUCGGGGGCUCAACCCUCGAAUGCCGGUGGAUACUGUCGGGCUAGAGUGCGGAAGAGGCGAGUGGAAUUCCGUGGUGAUAGCGGUGAAAUGACGCAGAUAUCAGGAAGAACACCUAUGGCGAAGGCGGAUCUCUGGGCCAUUACUGACGCUGAGGAGCGAAAGCGUGGGGAGCGAACAGG
rnacentral:rRNA from 1 species